rnacentral:rRNA from 1 species
GUGUCAGCCGCCGCGGUAAUACCGGCAGCCCGAGUGAUGGCCGAAAAAAUUGGGCCUAAAGCGUUCGUAGCUGGCCGGACAAGUCCGUUGGGUUAUCCGCGCGCUUAACGCGCGGGCGUCCAGCGGAAACUGUUCGGCUUGGGACCGGAAGAUCUGACCCGUACGUCCGGGGUAGGAGUGAAAUCCUGUAAUCCUGGACGGACCGCCGAUGGCGAAUGCACGUCGCGAGGACGGAUCCGACAGUGAGGGACGAAAGCCAGGGUCUCGAACCGGAUUAGAUACCCCUGUAGUCC